UUACUUUUAACAUAAAAAAAAAUUGUUGAAAAUACCAAGUCAUGACCGUUAGAGCACCUGUCGCCACCUUCAUCUCAAAACACGCUAAAAUAUCACGACGGUAAAUCAACCGUCCCCGUCUAUUUCUAAAAAAUUCAAGUCACGACAGUUGGAGCACCUGUCGCCACCCCAAACGCUUCACCCAAUUACAAGGUUGCGACGGUGAUAGCCAUCCGUCGUCUUCCCUUAUCUCAAUUCGCUCUAAAACUCUUCGUAUCCUAAUUUUUAAUUUUUUUAUUCUCUUAUUCAAAAACACACGCCCUUGGAGAAAAAGAAGCACACUCACGUCAAAGGAACUUCUUCCUCUCUCAGCCACUCACAUCGUCAAAGCAACCACCAUCACCAUAAAGCUUAACAGGUAAUCAUUCACAACACAACAUAUUUUCUGUAGCUAAUGACAUCUUGGGUUGUUGUCUGAUACUCAGAGCUGCAAAAUUUGAAGGUAGAGUGACAGCAGAGAGUGUGGUUUACAGUUUUGGAACUCUAUUGCUUGAUCUCUUGAGUGGUAAACAUAUUCCACCAAGCCACCAAGCCAUUUUCUUUUAAAGAUGGAGGUGAAAUAAUAUCUAUAGAUUCAAGUGUGAAGCAGGGUGGAAUCAUAUCUCGAUACAAGUGUGAAGCAAGGAGGCUGUAAUACUCUUUUAUUCUGUCACAACAUGGAUUCAAUAUGUUAGAUUCAACAAACUUCUCAAUGAUUUAUAUUUUUAAUGUAUAUGAGUUCAUAGAGAAAAUGAAAUCUCUAAUCUUCCAUGUUUCAUUUAGUUCUAAGAUUAAUUUUAGAUUUCUAUUUACUUGAAGUAUCAAAUGUCAAUCACAAGGUUAAUCAUUAACUAACACUAUUCUUGAAAUAUGUUUAUAUACCUAUUUCCCUAUAAAUAAUUUUUAUUUAUUAUUCAUAUGCAAAUAUGUGUAACAAGUAUUACUACACAUAUUUACAAGAAAAUAUAAACUUCUAAAUAUGAGUUUUAAAGAUAUUUUGAAUGUCUCGUUUCGAAUUUAAUAGCUAGA